GCUGGCGACCGGCGCACGGGUGAGUAACACGUAUCCAACCUGCCGAUAACUCGGGGAUAGCCUUUCGAAAGAAAGAUUAAUACCCGAUGGUAUAAUCAGACCGCAUGGUUUGAUUAUUAAAGAAUUUCGGUUAUCGAUGGGGAUGCGUUCCAUUAGGCAGUUGGUGAGGUAACGGCUCACCAAACCUUCGAUGGAUAGGGGUUCUGAGAGGAAGGUCCCCCACAUUGGAACUGAGACACGGUCCAAACUCCUACGGGAGGCAGCAGUGAGGAAUAUUGGUCAAUGGGCGCAGGCCUGAACCAGCCAAGUAGCGUGAAGGAUGACUGCCCUAUGGGUUGUAAACUUCUUUUAUAUGGGAAUAAAGUUUUCCACGUGUGGAAUUUUGUAUGUACCAUAUGAAUAAGGAUCGGCUAACUCCGUGCCAGCAGCCGCGGUAAUACGGAGGAUCCGAGCGUUAUCCGGAUUUAUUGGGUUUAAAGGGAGCGUAGGUGGACAGUUAAGUCAGUUGUGAAAGUUUGCGGCUCAACCGUAAAAUUGCAGUUGAUACUGGCUGUCUUGAGUACAGUAGAGGUGGGCGGAAUUCGUGGUGUAGCGGUGAAAUGCUUAGAUAUCACGAAGAACUCCGAUUGCGAAGGCAGCUCACUGGACUGCAACUGACACUGAUGCUCGAAAGUGUGGGUAUCAAACAGGAUUAGAUACCCUGGUAGUCCACACAGUAAACGAUGAAUACUCGCUGUUUGCGAUAUACAGUAAGCGGCCAAGCGAAAGCAUUAAGUA
rnacentral:rRNA from 1 species